ensembl:lncRNA
GCGGUAGUGGGCCUCUUGCGCUAACUGGUGUCAGCUGUUGCAGGAAAUGAAGGGAUCACGUCUAUCCCAAUCUCUCUCUCUCUCUCUGAGUUUUCAUGUGAUUCGUAUCCUGUUAAACACGGCAGAGAGAAUGAGCUGCUCAGACAGAGAGAUGAAUGGGACUCAGAUGAUGAGGGCUUGUGGAGGACCACAGCACCCGAGGCACGGUCAGUCGCUGUCGCCAGCUCGGCAUGCCCGACUGCAGCUCACCCCCUCAGUCCAGCUGAUUUCUCUAAAUCCAGCACAAUAAACCAACUGAGCAGUCAUCCACAGUCCCGGCCACUGAACUGCUGUGAUUCUGUGCAUGUGGAUGUCUGCAGUCUGGAGGGAAAAUGCAUUUAAGUCAGUGUGUUACAUUUGAGGUGGAUUAAUCGCAUGCAGAGUAUUUCAAUUUUUCUCGUUCAUCCAGGCUCUUGUUUUCAAUCUCUGGCUCUUGCAUGUGCCCUCUCUUUUUCUUUCCCUCCCUCUCUCUCUGUCCUCAGAUGGCUUUCAGCCUACUUUCCUAUAACAGAAAACAGAGCAGAGUGGAGUCAGCAUUCACAGUCAGAGGCAGGCACAAGCACCAGAUAAACACCCCCUUUAAGUGUGUGUAUACUGUAUGUACAUGUGAGUGUGUGUCAAGUGCAUCUUUCUGUCACUUUUCACAAUGCACUGAGUAGAUGGCCCAGAUGGAAUCUGCAGUCGGUUUUCACAUUUUCAGUACAGUUUUUUGCUGAAAAUGUGCACAAUUCUGUGUGAUGGAUUUAAACAUGGCAAAAUGCGGUAAAUUGAUCU